UAGAGAGCGACGCCAGCGACGGCGAGGAGUUCUACACGCCGCCCUCGUCGGCCGGCUCGGGCUCGCCAGCCACGCCCGACGAGGCGCCCGAGGUGUUCAUCUGCGGCCGCCAGCCCACCACCGCGGACCUGGACGUGCUGCGAGCGCUGGAGGCCGUCACCGUGGACCGCAGCCUCUUCCCCAGCGUCUGCAACUGGCGCAGCCAGGUGCUGGUUCGCUCGCGCAACCAGGGAUUCAGGUUCUCCACGCCGCGGCGUCCAGCCUGCCGGACGGCGGCCGCGUCCGAGAGGGACGGCUCACCGGUCACGCGCCCGGCCGCCAGUCGGCUGGCCGGCCGGCCCGCGCCUGUCAACGGCCACCGGUGGUGACCCGUCAACAGCCGCCGGUGGUGACCCGUCAACAGCCGCCGGUGGUGACCCGUCAACAGCCACCGGUGGUGACCCGUCAACGGUCAUCGAUGGUGACCCGUCAACAUCCACUGGUUGUGACCCGUCAACAGCCACCGGUGGUGACCCGUCAACGGCCACCGGUGGUGACCCGUCAUCGGCCACCGGUGGUGACCCGUCAACGGCCACCGGUGGUGACCCGUCAAUAGCCGCCUGUGGUGACCCGUCAUCGGCCACCGGUGGUGACCCGUCAACGGCCAUCGAUGGUGACCCGUCAACAGCCCCUGGUUGUGACCCGUCAAUAGCCACCGGUGGUGACCCGUCAGUGGCCACCAGUGGUGACCCGUCAGGUGCCACCGGUGGUGACCCGUCAACGACCAUCGGUGAUCGCCGGUGACCGCCAGCAGCCACCGGUGAUCACCCGUCAACUGCCAUCGGUGACCGUCAACGGUCGCCGCGACUGCUAGUGACGGGCAGUGGCCAUCUGUGUGGAGGGCAAGGGUCACUGUGACGGAUGAUCUGUGAGUAGGGUGAUGACGUGCCGAGUGUACUGUAGGUGGAAGGUCUAGGGAACAUCAGUUUGUAAGAGGGUUUCAUACGUAUAGUAUUUAAUGUACGUAGCUUUUAUUUCAGUCGCUAUGCUUCAGUUCUGCGUUAUUCAACCUUCGCCUGGAAUCCUCACUGGCUGAACUUCACGCUUGCAAUCUGGAUGAGGCGUAAAGGAAGAAAUUGUUUCGUAUGAUUUCCAACUUUCCUUGGGCUGGCGACAUUAUGUCAGCAAACAACCACUCCCUACGCAAUCUUCACACGCAGCAGUGCUAGACCAGACCUUCUCCUUACGAGGCGCUGUAACUCCCCAGUCUGUGGCCUCCGAUGGGAAGCCCAGGCGGACCCACGUGCCGGUUUGCGGGCAGCGACAGGUCCUGCCGGCGUUAUGCCGCGUGCGCAGUGUAACGACGUCUGCGACUCGCGCGGAGCGCAACGGCGACUGCUUCCAGACGACACCGAGGCUUUAAUGGGGCCCGUCUUUGCGCCGCCUGUCCUGAGGGUAGCCCUCAGGAUUGUUUAGGACAAGGGUAUCCGAGAAGA